AGAGUUUGAUCCUGGCUCAGAUUGAACGCUGGCGGCAGGCCUAACACAUGCAAGUCGAGCGGUAGCACAGGGAGCUUGCUCCUGGGUGACGAGCGGCGGACGGGUGAGUAAUGUCUGGGAAACUGCCUGAUGGAGGGGGAUAACUACUGGAAACGGUAGCUAAUACCGCAUAACGUCUUCGGACCAAAGAGGGGGACCUUCGGGCCUCUUGCCAUCAGAUGUGCCCAGAUGGGAUUAGCUAGUAGGUGGGGUAAUGGCUCACCUAGGCGAUGAUCCCUAGCUGGUCUGAGAGGAUGACCAGCCACACUGGAACUGAGACACGGUCCAGACUCCUACGGGAGGCAGCAGUGGGGAAUAUUGCACAAUGGGCGCAAGCCUGAUGCAGCCAUGCCGCGUGUAUGAAGAAGGCCUUCGGGUUGUAAAGUACUUUCAGCGAGGAGGAAGGUGUUGAGGUUAAUAACCUCAGCAAUUGACGUUACUCGCAGAAGAAGCACCGGCUAACUCCGUGCCAGCAGCCGCGGUAAUACGUAGGGUGCAAGCGUUAAUCGGAAUUACUGGGCGUAAAGCGCACGCAGGCGGUCUGUCAAGUCGGAUGUGAAAUCCCCGGGCUCAACCUGGGAACUGCAUUCGAAACUGGCAGGCUAGAGUCUUGUAGAGGGGGGUAGAAUUCCAGGUGUAGCGGUGAAAUGCGUAGAGAUCUGGAGGAAUACCGGUGGCGAAGGCGGCCCCCUGGACAAAGACUGACGCUCAGGUGCGAAAGCGUGGGGAGCAAACAGGAUUAGAUACCCUGGUAGUCCACGCCGUAAACGAUGUCGACUUGAGGUUGUUCCCUUGAGGAGUGGCUUCCGGAGCUACGCGUUAAGUCGACCGCCUGGGGAGUACGGC
rnacentral:rRNA from 1 species